rnacentral:rRNA from 1 species
AAUAGAUACCCGGGUAGUCCACGCAGUAAACGAUGCAGACUAGGCGUGGGGGGGACUUGACCCCCUCCGUGCCGGAGCUAACGCGGGAAGUCUGCCGCCUGGGGAGUACGGCCGCAAGGCUAAAACUCAAAGGAAUUGACGGGGGCCCACACAAGCGGCGGAGCGUGCUCUUUAAUUCGUCGCAACGCGAAGAACCUUACCAGGGCUUGACAUGGAUCUGCAUCCCCGUGAAAGCGGGUGGCCUUCGAGGGUGAUCCACAGGUGCUGCAUGGCUGUCGUCAGCUCGUGUCGUGAGAUGUUGGGUUAAGUCCCGCAACGAGCGCAACCCUUGUGUCCAGUUGCGAUUUUCUGGACAGACUGCCGGGAGCAAACCGGAGGAAGGUGGGGAUGAUGUCAAGUCAGCAUGGCCCUUANGGCCCCUGGGCGAGAAGCACGCUACAAUGGCCAGGACAGAGGGUUGCCAAACGGUAACGUGGAGCUAAUCCCACAAACCUGGUCUCAGUUCGGAUCGUGGGCUGCAACUCGCCCA